UACGUAGGGGGCUAGCGUUGUCCGGAUUUAUUGGGCGUAAAGCGCGUGUAGGCGGUCCGGUAAGUCCGCUGUGAAAGUCGGGGGCUCAACCCUCGGAUGCCGGUGGAUACUGUCGGGCUAGAGUGCGGAAGAGGCGAGUGGAAUUCCUGGUGUAGCGGUGAAAUGCGCAGAUAUCAGGAGGAACACCAAUUGCGAAGGCAGCUCGCUGGGACGUGACUGACGCUGAGACGCGAAAGCGUGGGGAGCAAACAGG
rnacentral:rRNA from 1 species